AACGCACAUUGCGCCCUUUGGCAUUCCGAAGGGCAUGCCUGUUCGAGCGUCAUUAUCACCCCUCAAGCUUGGCUUGUUGUUGGGCCACGUUGUCACAAACGGGCUCCAAAGACAAUGACGGCGUCUGUAGGACCCUCGGUACAAUGAGCUUUUUAACGAGGCACGUACUGAAGUGGGCCUGGGGACCCGGUCUCUUAGUUUUAGACUAACAUUUUUCUAAGGUUGACCUCGGAUCAGGUAGGGAUACCCGCUGAACUUAA
rnacentral:misc_RNA from 1 species